rnacentral:tRNA from 1 species
CGCGCUACUGGCGCAGGUGCCAGCGCACAGCGGUUUGCAACUGCUGGAUGCCGGAUGCGGAACCGGCUGGUACAGCC